UACAGAGGGUGCGAGCGUUGUCCGGAAUCACUGGGCGUAAAGGGCGCGUAGGUGGCGCGACAAGUCAGUGGUGAAAGCUCGACGCUCAACGUCGAGUCGGCCACUGAUACUGUUGGGCUGGAGCACUGUAGAGGCUAAUGGAAUUCCGGGUGUAGCGGUGGAAUGCGUAGAGAUCCGGAAGAACACCGGUGGCGAAGGCGGCUCUCUGGGACGGUACUGACGCUGAGACGCGAAAGCGUGGGGAGCGAACAGG
rnacentral:rRNA from 1 species